AAGCACACUGUCCGUACCGAGAUCCGACACAGGUACUCAUGGCGGCGAAAGCCAAGGUCUGUCGGGAGCAACCGACGUUAGGGAAUUCGGCAAGUUAGUCCCGUACGUUCGCAAUAAGGGAUGCCUGCCUCGCGAAGAGGCAGGUCGCAGUGACUCGGGCGCUCCGACUGUCUAGUAACAACAUAGGUGACCGCAAAUCCGCAAGGACUCGUACGGUCACUGAAUCCUGCCCAGUGCAGGUAUCUGAACACCCCGUACAAGGGGACGAAGGACCUGUUAACGGCGGGGGUAACUAUGACCCUCUUAAGGUAGCGUAGUACCUUGCCGCUUUAGUAGCGGCUUGCAUGAAUGGAUCAACGAGAGCGCCACUGUCCCAACGUUGGGCCCGGUGAACUGUACGUUCCAGUGCGGAGUCUGGAGACCCCCAAGGGGAAGCGAAGACCCUAUAGAGCUUUACUGCAGGCUGUCACUGAGACGUGGUCGCCAUUGUGCAGCAUAGGUAGGAGCCGUUACACAGGUACCCGCGCUAGCGGGUCACCGAGGCAGCAUUGAAAUACUACCCGAUGGUGACUGCGACUCUCACUCCUGGCGGAGGACACUGGUAGCCGGGCAGUUUGACUGGGGCGGUACGCGCUUGAAAAGAUAUCGAGCGCGCCCCAAGAUUUCCUCACUCGGGUCGGAGACCCGAGGAAGAGCGCAAGAGCAAAAGGAAGUCUGACAGUGUCCGGCACAACGACGGACGCUGACGCGAAAGCGUGGUCUAGCGAACCAAUGAGGCUGCUUGAUGCGGCCCAUUGCUGACAAAAAAGCUACCUUAGGGAUAACAGAGUCGUCACCCGCAAGAGCACAUAUCGACCGGGUGGCUUGCUACCUCGAUGUCGGUUCCCUCCAUCCUGCCCGUGCAGAAGCGGGCAAGGGUGAGGUUGUUCGCCUAUUAAAGGAGGUCGUGAGCUGGGUUUAGACCGUCGUGAGACAGGUCGGCUGCUAUCUAUUGGGGGUGUUACGGUAUCUGACGGGAACGUUCGUAUAGUACGAGAGGAACUACGAAUGGGUGCCACUCGUGUACCGGCUGUUCGAAAGAGCACGUGCCGGGCAGCGACGCACCACGGGGUAAGAGCUGAACGCAUCUAAGCUCGAAACCCACCUGGAAAAGAGAUACCA
rnacentral:rRNA from 1 species